rnacentral:misc_RNA from 1 species
GAAAUGCGAUAAGUAAUGUGAAUUGCAGAAUUCAGUGAAUCAUCGAAUCUUUGAACGCACAUUGCGCCCGGCAGUAAUCUGCCGGGCAUGCCUGUCCGAGCGUCAUUUCAGCCCUCGAACCACUAUUCACGUAGCUGGAUCGGUGUUGGGGCACUACGGUGGAAUACCCGUAGGCCCCUAAAUGAAGUGGCGGUCCCGCCGCGGCGCCCCCAUGCGUAGUAACUUUCAGUCUCGCAUCGGGUCCCGGCGGAGGCCUGCCGUCAAGCCUAUUUUAUCUUUACAGAUGGUUUGACCUCGGAUCAGGUAGGGUUACCCGCUGAACUUAA